GAAGAACCAGGACAUGUAACAAUAUUGUCUGUGUUAUUUGCACCACUCUCCUUAACUUGCUGCCUUGUACGAGUCCAACGUCUUCGACGGACAAUAUUGUGAGCUGACUUUGUGCUACACUUGGGAGAAUUUGGCGGCCACCUCAAGGUUUGAAAAUCAGGCCCAUAGGCCCAUCCAUCAACGUCAACAAACUGAGAUUUG
rnacentral:misc_RNA from 1 species